CAAUAGCGUAUAUUAAAGUUGUUGCAGUUAGAACGCUCGUAGUCGGAUUUCGGGGCGGGCCGACCGGUCUGCCGAUGGGUACGCACUGGUCGGAGCGUCCUUCCUUCCGGAGACCGUGCCUACUCUUAACUGAGCGGGGGCGGGAGACGGAUCGUUUACUUUGAAAAAAUCAGAGUGUUUCAAGCAGGCAGCUCGCUCUUGCAUGGAUUAGCAUGGGAUAAUGAAAUAGGACUUUGGUGCUAUUUUGUUGGUUUCGAACACCGAAGUAAUGAUUAAAAGGGACAGUCAGGGGCACUCGUAUUCCGCAGAGAGAGGUGAAAUUCUCAGACCCGCGGAAGACGAACCACUGCGAAAGCAUUUGCCAGGGAUGUUUUCACUGA
rnacentral:rRNA from 1 species